rnacentral:rRNA from 1 species
UACGUAGGCAGCAAGCGUUGUUCGGAAUUACUGGGCGUAAAGAGUGUGUAGGCGGUGCUCUAAGUCUGUUGUGAAAUCUCCCGGCUUAACUGGGAGGGUGCGGCGGAGACUGGAGUGCUAGAGUGUGGGAGAGGUAAGCGGAAUUCCUGGUGUAGCGGUGAAAUGCGUAGAUAUCGGGAGGAACACCUGUGGCGAAGGCGGCCCCCUGGUUGGAUACUGACGCUGAGACGCGAAAGCGUGGGGAGCAAACAGG